rnacentral:lncRNA from 1 species
AGGAUAGUGUGUUGGUGAGCGGGAUGAGCAGCCCGUGGCAUCGCAGCGAGGAGGAGACGAAGAGGAGCAGCAGGCCGAAGCAGAGGAGGCGCAUGGUGACGCGGGCGCUUUUGCGCGGGGUGGAAUGGAAUCGUCGGGUUUCUUUCUGGCCGGCCUCAAGCCGCGGGUUUAGAAGGGGUUUUUGAAGCGCCGAGCCGGCUGCCGUGGGGACGUCCAACGAAAAACGGAAAUCCACCCGGGAGACGCCGCGAGCCGCAUGGAGGAUUGGAGGGAC